UCCGCCGAUGACGUGAUACUUGUGUAUAUAAUGAACGACUUUGUGAGUCGUAUAGUCUGUGGUAAGUGACGUUCGCUGCUUUCGGAGUUGCCACUGGGAUCGUAUUCAAAAUGGUAUUGCUGUCCAUCAUCAUCGUUUACGGUGUUAUACUCAACGCCUUUGUAUUUGCUUACCCCCAUACCAGGGAUACAAUGGGUAUCACAAAUGGUAAAUUUAUGGUGAAACUGCAGAACUUCAAGCGAGGAACCGAGAAUAUGCUAUUGAAAAGCCACCACAUGGUAAUUAGACAGCACAGAUGAACACACUUUGUUGAUCUGGUGAAUUGCGGCAAAUAAUGAAGAAACAAUUUACGCCUUUAAUAAAAGAUUAUUCCUCA